ensembl:snRNA U6 U6 spliceosomal RNA
GUGCUCGCUUCAGCAGCACAUAUACUAAAAUUGGAAUGAGACAAAGAUUAGCAUGGGCCCUGUGCAAGAAUGACACGCAAAUUUGUAAAGCAUUCCAUAUAUUU